UAAUAUUUAUAUAUCAGAUAUAAAUACUAAAAAUUUUACAAUAGCAUUUACAAUUUAAAGUGAAUUCAUUAAACUAGAAGCUAUAGCAUCUCUUGUUAAUUCCAUUUCAAAACCACUAAAAUUGUUUGAUUCACCGUCAUCAUCAUUAUCAUCGUCGUCGUCGUCAUCAUCAUCACUUUCUCGACCAUGCGCAUUUUCUGAAUCAAUAUUAUUCUCAUAUGCCCAGUUAAUAUCUUCGUAUUCCAUAAAAUCUGC
rnacentral:lncRNA from 1 species